AAGACCUGGGCAAGCCUGACCUGCAGAGGCAAGAAAGGGAUAAAAUAUACAAACAUGAGGCAAUUUAUGAGCGAGCAUGCUAAGGAAAAGCCAGUGAUUAGUUCCAAAUUGGCAAGAUAGAAGGCAUUAACAACAAGAUGGAACGAUUGAAGUAAUUACAGAUAGCUCAAAUUUACAGUGUCCUUUGUAAACAAUUUCUGAGAGCCUUAACUGUAAGAUAGUUUCUUUGUGACCAGAAGGUUAUGGGUUCUACUAUAGCAGGGAAAAGGCCACAUGGGAGAACCUCACAGAACCUCGCAAACCCAGUAGCCUCCUGCACUCCUAAGGCCUUAAAAGUAAGUAUAGAUAACCAAUGAGUGGUGCUAGAGUCUCCUCCAGAACUUUGAGAUUUCAAGUUUCAAUCUUAGUCGGAACCCAAUUAACG
rnacentral:misc_RNA from 1 species